rnacentral:ncRNA from 3 species
GCCAGGUGCAGUGACUCACACCUGUAGUCCCAGCUACUCAGGAGGCUGAGGCUGGAGGAUUGCUUGAGCCCAGGAGUUCAAGGCUGUAGUAUGCCAUGAUCAUGCCUGUGAAUAGCCACUGCACUCCAGCCUGGGCAGCAUAGCAGGACCCUGUCUCUA